UACGGAGGGAGCUAGCGUUGUUCGGAAUUACUGGGCGUAAAGCGCGCGUAGGCGGCUAUUCAAGUCAGAGGUGAAAGCCCGGGGCUCAACCCCGGAACUGCCUUUGAAACUAGAUAGCUAGAAUCUUGGAGAGGCGAGUGGAAUUCCGAGUGUAGAGGUGAAAUUCGUAGAUAUUCGGAAGAACACCAGUGGCGAAGGCGGCUCACUGGACUGGUAUUGACGCUGAGGUGCGAAAGCGUGGGGAGCAAACAGG
rnacentral:rRNA from 1 species